CGGUUUCCACAUUCACGCAUCAGCCCGUUCACUGCGUCCGGGAGAAAACAGCUGGCGAGGCUCGGUUCCCCCCCACUCUCCGCCGGGAAGAGCAUGGCUUCGGGCGGCCCUGCGCAGAGAACGCAGAUGUGGACCCUCGGAAAGGAUGGUGACAGACAACUCUAAUACCAGCCCUUGGCAGGCAGAGGCAGGAGGAUCACUGCAAGUACAAGGGCAGCUUGUGCUCCAGAGCGAGGUCACAGCGACCUGAACCACACAGAAGGCACAGCCUCAAAAACAAUCCUUGGUAAGUUGCCCAGGCUAGACUUGAAUUCAAGAUGUUCCUGACUCCCUCAGGAGGACCUGGGCUGACAGGCACAGACAACUGCUCCAUGCUACUCUGUCAUGUUUUCUAGCCUUCUCUCUCACUUUUAUUUCCCAGUACUGGCUAUGGAACUCAGGACCUUUCGCUUGCCAGGCAGGUGCAACUGAACUGCAUUCCUGGCCCUCUAUCGUUCUCUCUCUUCUCUAACCAUCUAAAAAAUGAUUCAACAGCAAGUUUUGGAAUUCAUGUCUGCUUCCACCUCGGUACAUCUUUGGGAAAGCCUAGGCAUGAAAAUGUUCUCUUGUACAUUGACAGUAUAAUGAUAAAAGGCAGAAAAUUCAGCAUGAACACAAGACUCUUACAAGAUCCAAAAUCUGUAUUCAGCCUUCAGCCACCUAAGUAACCUCCUGCUUAGCUUUUUCCUCCUUCAGGUCAGCGUCUUAGUCACCUCCUCAUGUCUGAGACCAAUCCUCAACACCCCCAGCUU